rnacentral:rRNA from 1 species
AGUGAACGCUGGCGGUAGGCCUAACACAUGCAAGUCGAACGGCAGCACAGUAAGAGCUUGCUCUUACGGGUGGCGAGUGGCGGACGGGUGAGGAAUACAUCGGAAUCUACUUUUUCGCGGGGGAUAACGUAGGGAAACUUACGCUAAUACCGCAUACGACCUACGGGUGAAAGCAGGGGAUCUUCGGACCUUGCGCGAUCGAAUGAGCCGAUGUCGGAUUAGCUAGUUGGCGGGGUAAAGGCCCACCAAGGCGACGAUCCGUAGCUGGUCUGAGAGGAUGAUCAGCCACACUGGAACUGAGACACGGUCCAGACUCCUACGGGAGGCAGCAGUGGGGAAUAUUGGACAAUGGGCGCAAGCCUGAUCCAGCCAUACCGCGUGGGUGAAGAAGGCCUUCGGGUUGUAAAGCCCUUUUGUUGGGAAAGAAAAGCAGCAGGUUAAUACCCCGCUGUUCUGACGGUACCCAAAGAAUAAGCACCGGCUAACUUCGUG